rnacentral:rRNA from 1 species
GCUUAACACAUGCAAGUCGAACGGUGAAAGAGGAGCUUGCUCCUCUGGAUCAGUGGCGAACGGGUGAGUAACACGUGAGUAACCUGCCCUUGACUCUGGGAUAAGCGUUGGAAACGACGUCUAAUACCGGAUACGACAACCGAUGGCAUCAUCUGGUUGUGGAAAGAAUUUCGGUCAAGGAUGGACUCGCGGCCUAUCAGCUAGUUGGUGAGGUAAUGGCCCACCAAGGCGACGACGGGUAGCCGGCCUGAGAGGGUGACCGGCCACACUGGGACUGAGACACGGCCCAGACUCCUACGGGAGGCAGCAGUGGGGAAUAUUGCACAAUGGGCGCAAGCCUGAUGCAGCAACGCCGCGUGAGGGAUGACGGCCUUCGGGUUGUAAACCUCUUUUAGUAGGGAAGAAGCGAAAGUGACGGUACCUGCAGAAAAAGCACCGGCUAACUACGUGCCAGCAGCCGCGGUAAUACGUAGGGUGCAAGCGUUGUCCGGAAUUAUUGGGCGUAAAGAGCUCGUAGGCGGUUUGUCGCGUCUGCUGUGAAAACUGGAGGCUCAACCUCCAGCCUGCAGUGGGUACGGGCAGACUAGAGUGCGGUAGGGGAGAUUGGAAUUCCUGGUGUAGCGGUGGAAUGCGCAGAUAUCAGGAGGAACACCGAUGGCGAAGGCAGAUCUCUGGGCCGUAACUGACGCUGAGGAGCGAAAGCGUGGGGAGCGAACAGGAUUAGAUACCCUGGUAGUCCACGCCGUAAACGUUGGGAACUAGAUGUGGGGACCAUUCCACGGUCUCCGUGUCGCAGCUAA